UGAGGAAUAUUGGUCAAUGGACGGGAGUCUGAACCAGCCAAGUAGCGUGCAGGAUGACGGCCCUAUGGGUUGUAAACUGCUUUUGUGCGGGGAUAAAGUGUGGGACGCGUCCCAUAUUGCAGGUACCGCAUGAAUAAGGACCGGCUAAUUCCGUGCCAGCAGCCGCGGUAAUACGGAAGGUCCGGGCGUUAUCCGGAUUUAUUGGGUUUAAAGGGAGCGUAGGCCGGAGAUUAAGCGUGUUGUGAAAUGCCGCGGCUCAACCGUCGGCCUGCAGUUGAUACUGGUGGUCUUGAGUGCGCGCAGGGGCGUUGGAAUUCAUGGUGUAGCGGUGAAAUGCUCAGAUAUCAUGAAGAACUCCGAUCGCGAAGGCAGAUGCCCGGAGCGCAACUGACGCUGAGGCUCGAAAGUGCGGGUAUCAAACAGGAUUA
rnacentral:rRNA from 1 species